ensembl:lncRNA
CACAACCACUGGGCGGGGAAUGCAGCCAGGGCAGUUCCCACCGGCUCCCUGCUCAGGGUGGGACCCCUUGCUUGGCGGGGGCCACUGGAAUGACACCUGGCCAAAUAUUAAUUACUGUUGCUUCCGAGGUCCCACCAGUCACAGCGGUGGCGAGCCCUGCCCAGGAAGUCCAAAUAAUCGGCAUCGCUGGUAUUUUAGUCACCCCAAUGGGAGGCUGGGUCAUCUGACUCCACAGCUGCUCCGAGGCAGUCUCAGGCAGGGCCACUUCCCGGAACCCAGUCUGCCGCCGAGAAAGCAGGGGGCCUAGGCAGGUUGAGAAAUCUAAGGAAAUUGCCCGAAGUCUCAACCUGGCAAGAGACAAGGCUGGGACACUUUCCACUAAUGGCAGGAUGCUCUAAUUUAAUCACACAUCCCUCUCCAGGAUCCACCCCCACCCCCCAAUCCAGCUGUUACAGAAGUGCAAAUACUACAAGGUGGGGCACCCAGCCAUGUGCACAGACCAUCACAACUGUUCAAAGGCUUGGGUAAUGGAUUAAGGAGGACAGACUGAGCGAGGAAGAGGAAAUCCAAUGCACAGAAACCAGGCUGGCUGGAAACAUCCAGUGUUGACAGAGUUUUCGGCAAUCGCAGGGUGAUUUUGUGUUUCUCUUGUUAUCUAAUUAGACUGAAAAACUAUAUGUAUUUCACCUUACAAAGAAGACAGUGGAUAGUGAUGGCAAUAAGAGUAGCCACAUGUCCUUUGCCGGCAUUUACUGACCAUCAGGCAGUGCGGAAAAGCUCUUUGCUUAUGUUUUCUUUUAACCCUCCCUGCGCCACUGAUCCAAAGCCCUCUGCCUACCAGGCAGGUUUUCCCUUGUACCCAGCUCCUCCUACCCAAGGCCAAGGGCUGAUCAGCUGCCUACAAGCCUAGUGCAGCAGGCCUGGGUGCAGACCACAGUCAAUCCAGCCAGAUUUUCCAACCCAAUGCCUGGCUCCUGGCCCCUGAGGGCCCUAGCUGCCGAGGCCUUCACCUUGCUAUCUGGCUGUAGUGACAGACCGUCCUGAGCACUCUUCAUGAGACAUGGCAGUUUUAGGCCCUUGCUGCUCUGGGCCUUUGGAUGUUUUAAUUUAUUGCUUACUUUUCAAGACUGGCAUGUUUCAGAUCCUACCAAUACUAUGCAGAGGACCGUCUUGUGUAAGAUUGCCAGGCUGUGUUUCUAUGGCUUGUCAGCGUAAGUCUGAUCCCUGUCAACUACUUUCCAGUAUUCCAGAGCAGGGCUCCAAUCAGACACACUUACCAUGCCCUAUGCGUAUGAGCCUCCUGUGCCUCCCACUCCUGUGCUAAGUGUGGUGGAAACUUCCUGAGUUUCUAGAAAAUAAACCAAAAUUGUUUCCUUGAAAACAUUUUCAGAAGCUGAGAGCCUGCCACCCACUCUAUUGCCCUGGGAACAGGGAAAGCCAUGUUGUGAAGGGCAAGAGGCUGGGGUAAACCCAGAAAUCGGGGAGGGUGCAGGGGUGGGUCAGCCUCCCUGGCACUUCCAAACAGGCACCAGGGGCCUGACUCAAUCUAGGCCUCCUCCCCACUUUCCUUGACCUUUGGAGUCUGAGAGAGAAAGCCCUGGUGGGUUAGGCCCCAUGGUCCCUUCCAUGUUCCUCUCCUAUGCUGACGGGACAGCUUGUCUACAUGGCCACCUCCAUGCAACUGUUAGUGUCUACAGGACAAAGUCUGCGCCUUUCUCACCCUGGAUCCCUGAUAGCUGGCAGAGAAUGCUAUUAGCGUGAGUGGGAAGGUAAAUGACAAGGGCUCUCCCCAUCUCCAACCGAGCAUCGUGCCACCACUCAAUCUGGAUUUUCUAACAAGUCUUGGUUAAGUUGCACAGCCAUGGCCUUUAGCACUGAUAAACGGUGCUUGCAACUCUGGCUUUUAACCCACAAGCAGACUCCUCCUUAACCUCCCCUGUGCCUCAUUUUCCUCUUCUGGAGAGUGGUCUAGAAAAGACAGGAAGAACCUGCGCCUGGUGGGCCCCCAGGCCAGCCUGGUGUGCUUCCUCCUCCCAGCGCUCAUUCUGACUCAGUCGCUGUUUCCUGUUCCUCACCUGAGUAAAAGUCCAGAAAUGAGGAAAAGGUUAAGUACACUAGAGCCUACCAGCAAGACAAAAAAAUAUUAGUGGCUGAUAAAAGGCUUGGCCGAUGAUUUUUUUUUUAAUGCAUAGAAAAUGCAUAUUCACAUGAGGUGGAAAGGAGCUAAAUUAUACAUGUGUUAUGCUGUGCAUGUUUAUGCUUGUAUAUGGAAGACAGCUUCUGGAAAGGUAGAAUUUGACUUUCACUUUAUAGCUUUCUAUUCUUUUUUUAUUUGGGUGUGCAGGUAUAAUUGUGCUUAAUGGUAUGUGUGUGUGUGUGUGUGUGUACAUAUACAUGUCUUUGCUUUACUAUAAGUGGGUUCGAGCACACAUGUCUGUGUUUUUACAUGUGUGCAUACAUAUGUUUAUGUGUAGCAUAUGCAUGUGUACAUGUUUGUGUGUGUGCAUGUGUUUGUGCAUGUUUAUGUGGAGUCCACUUUGGGCGUCUUCUAUUAUUCUCUACCUUAUUGUUUUUAUUUAUUUUUAUGUGUAUGAGUAUUUUCCCUGAAUGCACAUACGUGCACCGUUUGCUUGCCUGGUGUCUACAAAAGUCAGAAGAGGACAUCAGAUCCCCUAGGACCAGAGUCACAGACAGUUAGGAUCUGCAUGUGUGUGCUGGGAAUCAAACUGGUUCUCUGGAAGUGUUCUUAACUGCUGAGCCAUCCCUUUAGUUCCCCACACCUUAUUUUUUGAGACACAGUUUCUCACUGAACCUGGAGCUCCUUGAGUUCGAUAAGGCCAGCAAUCAGUCUCCAAGGAUCUGCUCCUGCCUCCUCAGUGCUCAGACUACAAGAUGCCACCAUGCUUGGUGAGAGCUGGGGAUCCAAACUCAACUCCUCACCAUUAAAACAGCAAAAGCUUUGCUAAUGGAGCCAGCUCUGCAACUCCACUUUGAGUAUAUGCUAGUAUUUCCUCAAAUACAGUGUGCACACUGUAAUCCUGGCAUUCCAUAGGAUCUGUGAGUUUGAGGCCAGCCUGGUCUACACAGUGAGUUCCUUCCAGGAUAACCAGAGCUACCUAGAGAGACCUGUCUCAAACAAAACAAAAAGACAAAAAAAAAAAAAAAAAAUAGCAACAGCAACAAAUAGACAAAAAUAAAGUAACAAGAUCUCAGUUGCUGUGCCCUUGGCAGUAGGGGAAUUAUUGAAAUAUUGUUUGUAUUUGUUCUGCCUCUCAAGUGCUGGGAUCAAAGGUGAGCACCACCAUGCCCAGCCAAAUAUUCUUUAGUAUUUCCUGAGCUUUACACAACUAGUUUAUAUUUCCUCUAUAAUGUGCUUAAAGAUAAAAACCAUUUCAAGCAUCUUCUCCCCUCCAGGGUGGGGGGUAGGCAAGUGACUGCGCACAGUGUGGAUGCAAAGGGUAGGACAGGGCAGAGGCUGUCCUGGAGCCGAGGUUUCUGCUGAGCCAUAUAACAUUGUUUAGCCUCAGCUGGCCAGUAGAGGCAAGAAAUAGGAUGUCUAAGUCAUCCUUAGUCACCCUCUGGGGGAGCAGGGCAGGGAGCAGGGGCAGGAAGUUACUUGGAAGGAGCCUCAUUCUGGCCCUGAAGCCUUCUAGACUGAGGAGUCUAAGACCUAGGCCCCUACCCAUGUGGCAUUGUUCCCUUGGGGCUGCCAGCCUACUGCGGGAGAGUAGAAGGGUUAGGAAAGAACACAGGAAAAUGCCCUCUGGCCAUUGGCUGGUACCAUCCUCCUGAGGAAGCUGUUGUGAAAAUUAAUUACCAUUUGUCUGGGACUUUUAGAUUCCUCAGAUGAAAGACCCAGUGGAAGGAGGCUCAUGAUGAGUACGUGUUUACCGUACUGACUUUCAUCCUAAAUUUCCAACGUGACAAUCACGCACCCCUCCCCUAGCCUCCCACUGCCUGGACAUCUUGCCCCAAAGUGUCAAAGGUCAAGCUUCAGAAUUGAAUCAGCACCAAAGAGGGGGAGGAGAGAAGGGAAGAGGAAGGGGAGGAGGGAGAAGAAGGGAGGGAAGGACCAGAGACAGGUGACAGACAUCCUGUGUUUCAGAUAGCUAAACCCAGGGGCUCCUCUCCCAGGUUAAAGGGGGGUGGGGGGGUGGCUGCAGCAAGUCUAAGGAGCUGAGGCUUGCAGAAAGUGGUUAUGGAUAUUCCGAGCUAGUCCUUGUUCCUGCCAGCCUAGAACCCUGAACUUUAAGUCUUUUUAGAAUUGAGGAGUGGGAAGAAUUCUAGAAGGUGCUAGGCAGCUUGCACCCUGCAUGGAGUCCACUGCAGUGCCUUUUCCUCCAUCAAACAGCACCGACUCUUUGUUGAUGGCUUCUGAAUAUUGAGAAGACAGGGUCCUGUUGCUCCUACUCCUGGAGAACUCUGGUUUUCCCGAGUCUUCUUUUGCCUUUUCAUCUUCAUUUCAUACAAGAUGACAGAUGAGCUCAAAAGCCAUGUGAAGUUUUUCUAGCCAGGUAGACAGAAUGGAUCCAGUGUGUGUGUGUGUGUGGGGGGGUCUUUGGCUUAUUUAUUAAUUUAGACAAGGGCUCAUUGUCCAGCUCUUGUUCUUGCACCACACUGGCUUUGAUGUCACAUAGCUCUGCCUCCUCCCUAGUACUGAGAUUAAAGGUGUUCAACACUAUGCCUGGUUGCUUUAAAAUUUUGUUUUUUGAAGACAAGUUCUCAUGAAGCCCCCAGACUCUACUUGAACUUAAUAGGUAACUGACCAACUGGCCUUGAGUUCCUGACCUUGUUUCCACCUCCACAAACGGGGAUUACAGGUGCUAGAAUUAUAGGCAUAAUUGCCAUACCUAGUAGAGAGGGCCUUGAAGGCUCCAGCCCCUCCCCCAAGAAGACUGAAUUCACCACCUAAGGGAGCAGUCAGGCCAAGGAUGGCCUGUGCUCUGAACUGGAGAAGUCAGGAAACUGUCCCAGGCUCCAGGUGUGGAGGCCUCAUGAACAGAGCCUGUCACGGUCAGCAGGGCAGGUUCCUGAGACGAUGGGGUGGGCAAACAGGCAGUGGGACAAGACUAUGGAGGCCCUGAAGUGCCAAGUUAAAGGUCUAGGAUGGCCCAGAAGACUCCAGAGGCCUCCUGCAAAGUCUCUGAGCAGAGGGCAUAUGAUGCAAGUGGAGGGGAAGGUGAGAUAUUCCAGGAGAAGAAUCUCAAACCAUCCCGACUCUAUUUUAGCUGACGACACAUCAGCACCGAUGUCACCUCCCCCGUGCUCUCUGACACACUAGCCAGCUUUUUCAUGGCACUUAACGCCUCAGCAACGAUCCUUUAUACACUUGCUUACUUCCUUUGUUUCCGUGUCCCACAGAACAUAAACAAAACAGAGUAGGUGGUGGGGGGGUCAUUAUCUUGUUUUGUUCACUGUUGCCUCUCCAGCGGCUGUGACAAGCUAAUGGCAGAUGCUGCGAGUGUAUUUGUGGAAUGAAUAGAUAGAUUGAUAAAUGGAAUGAUGGCAUCACUAUUUCUGUCCCCAGGCCCCAAGCCCCAUGGUGAUGCUUGACUCAUACUCCUGUGUGGAAAUCUGGCGGUCUCUUUGUCUAGAUGUGUUGUUUCUGUUUUCCUCCCAGCCCUUCCCCUGUGCACGCAGCUCUACCCUCCCCAACAACUACAAGCUCCUUGGGCAGACUUGGCCAUGACAAUUCCCACUGAUCCAAUCCCUAUGAUGAAUGAAUGAAUGAAUGAAUGAAUGAAUGCAGGCCAACAAGAUUGUUCGGAAGGGCUGCUGAGGUUCAUGUUGGUCUUCACUGACCGCAAAAGACAGAAAAACCUGGGGAGGCAAGUGAAUGGAGAAAAGGCCCCCUGCAAGAAAUUAUCAGGACAAAGUUGAAGGGGCACCAAGAUUUUGGAUCCAGUGGUGACUAUUUGUUGGUUUAUAUGCUGCCUCUCCAGCAUGGAGUCUGUCUGCAUGCACCAUGCUUCCCGCCUGACGAUAAUGGACUGAACCUCUGAACUGUAAGCCAGCUCCAAUUAAAUGUUUUCCUUUAAAUGAGUUGCCUUGGUCAUGGUCUCUUCACAGCAACAGAUACCUUAACUAAGACAUAGUUUUAUAACCUGCUUUUUGUUCACUUAAUCAUAUGUGAUAAACACAAAGGUGCUUUUAUAAGCCCAAAGGGCAGUUUGAAAAGAUAACCCUUGGGAUAAACAGGAAGGCUGGGCUGACGUAUGCGUGUGAGUGAGCUCUGUGGUUUUGAUAAAUAUUAUUAAAGUAAAUAAAUCUUAGCUAUGCUGCCAGAGUAGGUACUCAUUAGCUCUGUGAGCAAGGCCACAAAAUGAAGACUCCUGGAACACUGGUGCUUGAAGGAACCAUUGAGGUCAUCUAGUUCAAUCCCCUUUCCUUCCUGCUGAGAAGCUACAAGCCCAGGACCAUUAAAUAAUAUACCUAAAGAGAUGCCAC